CCAGAUGGUUGGAUGGUCGCUGCUGCAUUUAUGCGGGAGAGGAAAGUCCGGGCACCACGCAAGAACGGUGCCGGUUAAUGGCCGGCGAAGGUGACUUCAGGGAAAGUGCCACAGAAAGCAAACCGCCUGCGCUUAUGGCUUUUUGGCUAUGACAAGGGUAAGGGUGAAAGGGUGCGGUAAGAGCGCACCGCUCUGUUGGUAACAACAGAGGCAGGGUAAACCCCACCGGGUGCAAAAUCGAAUAGGAACGUCAGCUCUUUAAGGGCAGCUCUUCUUGCGGAGUGUCGUUCGGGUAGAUUGCAUGAGGGUACUGGCAACAGCCCCCCUAGAUGAAUGACCAUCCAUUUGCCGUGUUUUCAGGAACAAGGCAAGGGACAGAACCCGGCUUACAGACCAUCUGGAUAU
rnacentral:RNase_P_RNA from 1 species